rnacentral:rRNA from 1 species
CAGUAGCCGCGGUAAUACGGAGGGUGCAAGCGUUAAUCGGAAUUACUGGGCGUAAAGCGCACGCAGGCGGUCUGACAAGUUAGAUGUGAAAUCCCCGGGCUUAACCUGGGAACUGCAUUUGAAACUGUCAGGCUGGAGUCUUGUAGAGGGGGGUAGAAUUCCAGGUGUAGCGGUGAAAUGCGUAGAGAUCUGGAGGAAUACCGGUGGCGAAGGCGGCCCCCUGGACAAAGACUGACGCUCAGGUGCGAAAGCGUGGGGAGCAAACAGGAUUAGAUACCCGCGUAGUCCCUGUCUCUUAUAC